rnacentral:tRNA from 3 species
GUGACCAUAGCUCAGUAAGGUAGAGCGCCUGACUGUGGAUCAGGUGGUCGCGGGUUCAAGUCCCGCUGGUCACCCCA